UGGGGAAUAUUGCACAAUGGGCGAAAGCCUGAUGCAGCGACGCCGCGUGAGGGACGAAGGUCUUCGGAUUGUAAACCUCUUUCAGCAGGGACGAAGCGAAAGUGACUGUACCUGCAGAAGAAGCACCGGCUAACUACGUGCCAGCAGCCGCGGUAAUACGUAGGGUGCAAGCGUUGUCCGGAUUUAUUGGGCGUAAAGAGCUCGUAGGCGGUUCGUCACGUCGGAUGUGAGAACCUGGGGCUUAACCCCGGGCCUGCAUACGAUACGGGCGAACUAGAGUUCGGUAGGGGAGACUGGAAUUCCUGGUGUAGCGGUGAAAUGCGCAGAUAUCAGGAGGAACACCGGUGGCGAAGGCGGGUCUCUGGGCCGAUACUGACGCAGAGGAGCGAAAGCGUGGGGAGCAAACA
rnacentral:rRNA from 1 species